CUUGCACAGAAUGAUUAGUGGCGAACGGGUGAGUAACACGUGAGUAACCUGCCCCUGACUCUGGGAUAAGCCUGGGAAACUGGGUCUAAUACUGGAUAUGCACCGUAGACCGCAUGGUUUUUGGUGGAAAGAAUUUUGGUCAGGGAUGGACUCGCGGCCUAUCAGCUUGUUGGUGAGGUAAUGGCUCACCAAGGCGACGACGGGUAGCCGGCCUGAGAGGGUGACCGGCCACACUGGGACUGAGACACGGCCCAGACUCCUACGGGAGGCAGCAGUGGGGAAUAUUGCACAAUGGGCGAAAGCCUGAUGCAGCGACGCCGCGUGAGGGAUGACGGCCUUCGGGUUGUAAACCUCUUUCAGUAGGGAAGAAGCGAAAGUGACGGUACCUGCAGAAGAAGCGCCGGCUAACUACGUGCCAGCAGCCGCGGUAAUACGUAGGGCGCAAGCGUUAUCCGGAAUUAUUGGGCGUAAAGAGCUCGUAGGCGGUUUGUCGCGUCUGCCGUGAAAGUCCGAGGCUCAACUUCGGAUCUGCGGUGGGUACGGGCAGACUAGAGUGAUGUAGGGGAGACUGGAAUUCCUGGUGUAGCGGUGAAAUGCGCAGAUAUCAGGAGGAACACCGAUGGCGAAGGCAGGUCUCUGGGCAUCUACUGACGCUGAGGAGCGAAAGCAUGGGGAGCGAACAGGAUUAGAUACCCUGGUAGUCCAUGCCGUAAACGUUGGGCACUAGGUGUGGGGGACAUUCCACGUUUUCCGCGCCGUAGCUAACGCAUUAAGUGCCCCGCCUGGGGAGUACGGCCGCAAGGCUAAAACUCAAAGGAAUUGACGGGGGCCCGCACAAGCGGCGGAGCAUGCGGAUUAAUUCGAUGCAACGCGAAGAACCUUACCAAGGCUUGACAUGUGCUAGAUCGCAUAGAAAAUAUGGUUUCCCCUUUGGGGCUGGUUCAAGGUGGGGCCAUGGUUGUCGUCAGCUCGUGUCCUGAGAAGUUGGUGGUUAAGUCCCGCAACGAGCGCAACCCUCGUUCUAUGUUGCACCCCUUUUUGGUGGGGAAU
rnacentral:rRNA from 1 species